GGGUUGUGAGGUUAAGCGACUAAGCGUACACGGUGGAUGCCCUGGCAGUCAGAGGCGAUGAAGGACGUGCUAAUCUGCGAUAAGCGUCGGUAAGGUGAUAUGAACCGUUAUAACCGGCGAUUUCCGAAUGGGGAAACCCAGUGUGUUUCGACACACUAUCAUUAACUGAAUCCAUAGGUUAAUGAGGCGAACCGGGGGAACUGAAACAUCUAAGUACCCCGAGGAAAAGAAAUCAACCGAGAUUCCCCCAGUAGCGGCGAGCGAACGGGGAGCAGCCCAGAGCCUGAAUCAGUGUGUGUGUUAGUGGAAGCGUCUGGAAAGGCGCGCGAUACAGGGUGACAGCCCCGUACACAAAAAUGCACAUGCUGUGAGCUCGAUGAGUAGGGCGGGACACGUGGUAUCCUGUCUGAAUAUGGGGGGACCAUCCUCCAAGGCUAAAUACUCCUGACUGACCGAUAGUGAACCAGUACCGUGAGGGAAAGGCGAAAAGAACCCCGGCGAGGGGAGUGAAAAAGAACCUGAAACCGUGUACGUACAAGCAGUGGGAGCACGCUUAGGCGUGUGACUGCGUACCUUUUGUAUAAUGGGUCAGCGACUUAUAUUCUGUAGCAAGGUUAACCGAAUAGGGGAGCCGAAGGGAAACCGAGUCUUAACUGGGCGUUAAGUUGCAGGGUAUAGACCCGAAACCCGGUGAUCUAGCCAUGGGCAGGUUGAAGGUUGGGUAACACUAACUGGAGGACCGAACCGACUAAUGUUGAAAAAUUAGCGGAUGACUUGUGGCUGGGGGUGAAAGGCCAAUCAAACCGGGAGAUAGCUGGUUCUCCCCGAAAGCUAUUUAGGUAGCGCCUCGUGAAUUCAUCUCCGGGGGUAGAGCACUGUUUCGGCAAGGGGGUCAUCCCGACUUACCAACCCGAUGCAAACUGCGAAUACCGGAGAAUGUUAUCACGGGAGACACACGGCGGGUGCUAACGUCCGUCGUGAAGAGGGAAACAACCCAGACCGCCAGCUAAGGUCCCAAAGUCAUGGUUAAGUGGGAAACGAUGUGGGAAGGCCCAGACAGCCAGGAUGUUGGCUUAGAAGCAGCCAUCAUUUAAAGAAAGCGUAAUAGCUCACUGGUCGAGUCGGCCUGCGCGGAAGAUGUAACGGGGCUAAACCAUGCACCGAAGCUGCGGCAGCGACGCUUAUGCGUUGUUGGGUAGGGGAGCGUUCUGUAAGCCUGUGAAGGUGUACUGUGAGGUAUGCUGGAGGUAUCAGAAGUGCGAAUGCUGACAUAAGUAACGAUAAAGCGGGUGAAAAGCCCGCUCGCCGGAAGACCAAGGGUUCCUGUCCAACGUUAAUCGGGGCAGGGUGAGUCGACCCCUAAGGCGAGGCCGAAAGGCGUAGUCGAUGGGAAACAGGUUAAUAUUCCUGUACUUGGUGUUACUGCGAAGGGGGGACGGAGAAGGCUAUGUUGGCCGGGCGACGGUUGUCCCGGUUUAAGCGUGUAGGCUGGUUUUCCAGGCAAAUCCGGAAAAUCAAGGCUGAGGCGUGAUGACGAGGCACUACGGUGCUGAAGCAACAAAUGCCCUGCUUCCAGGAAAAGCCUCUAAGCAUCAGGUAACAUCAAAUCGUACCCCAAACCGACACAGGUGGUCAGGUAGAGAAUACCAAGGCGCUUGAGAGAACUCGGGUGAAGGAACUAGGCAAAAUGGUGCCGUAACUUCGGGAGAAGGCACGCUGAUAUGUAGGUGAAGCGACUUGCUCGUGGAGCUGAAAUCAGUCGAAGAUACCAGCUGGCUGCAACUGUUUAUUAAAAACACAGCACUGUGCAAACACGAAAGUGGACGUAUACGGUGUGACGCCUGCCCGGUGCCGGAAGGUUAAUUGAUGGGGUCAGCGCAAGCGAAGCUCUUGAUCGAAGCCCCGGUAAACGGCGGCCGUAACUAUAACGGUCCUAAGGUAGCGAAAUUCCUUGUCGGGUAAGUUCCGACCUGCACGAAUGGCGUAAUGAUGGCCAGGCUGUCUCCACCCGAGACUCAGUGAAAUUGAACUCGCUGUGAAGAUGCAGUGUACCCGCGGCAAGACGGAAAGACCCCGUGAACCUUUACUAUAGCUUGACACUGAACAUUGAGCCUUGAUGUGUAGGAUAGGUGGGAGGCUUUGAAGUGUGGACGCCAGUCUGCAUGGAGCCGACCUUGAAAUACCACCCUUUAAUGUUUGAUGUUCUAACGUGGACCCGUAAUCCGGGUUGCGGACAGUGUCUGGUGGGUAGUUUGACUGGGGCGGUCUCCUCCUAAAGAGUAACGGAGGAGCACGAAGGUUGGCUAAUCCUGGUCGGACAUCAGGAGGUUAGUGCAAUGGCAUAAGCCAGCUUGACUGCGAGCGUGACGGCGCGAGCAGGUGCGAAAGCAGGUCAUAGUGAUCCGGUGGUUCUGAAUGGAAGGGCCAUCGCUCAACGGAUAAAAGGUACUCCGGGGAUAACAGGCUGAUACCGCCCAAGAGUUCAUAUCGACGGCGGUGUUUGGCACCUCGAUGUCGGCUCAUCACAUCCUGGGGCUGAAGUAGGUCCCAAGGGUAUGGCUGUUCGCCAUUUAAAGUGGUACGCGAGCUGGGUUUAGAACGUCGUGAGACAGUUCGGUCCCUAUCUGCCGUGGGCGCUGGAGAACUGAGGGGGGCUGCUCCUAGUACGAGAGGACCGGAGUGGACGCAUCACUGGUGUUCGGGUUGUCAUGCCAAUGGCACUGCCCGGUAGCUAAAUGCGGAAGAGAUAAGUGCUGAAAGCAUCUAAGCACGAAACUUGCCCCGAGAUGAGUUCUCCCUGACUCCUUGAGAGUCCUGAAGGAACGUUGAAGACGACGACGUUGAUAGGCCGGGUGUGUAAGCGCAGCGAUGCGUUGAGCUAACCGGUACUAAUGAACCGUGAGGCUUAACCUUACAACGCCGAAGGUGUUU
rnacentral:rRNA from 1 species